GUCCGGGAGGGCGCUCUUGUUACCCCAUGUUCCAGAGGAAGAAACUGAGGCCCAAAGAGGGACAGGCACUUGAGCUUGGUCACAGUCAGAAGGGUGGAGGGGAGUCAGCCGUCAACCCCUCCACCAAGCUGCCACUCAGUGACCAGGCCUGUCUGCCUCUCACCCUCCAGGGUUGACAACUCCCUGUGGGUUCAGCCCGUGGCCCCAGCACACAGGCAGCGGCUCCCGACUGCCUGUUUCUCUCUGAGUCCCCCACCCCCACCACCGCGUUGUCUCUGUGCCUCUCUCUGGGGCUUUGGAGACAGACAUGUCUCCUGUUGCUCCGCCCCUCCAUCACUCUGCCCAUCUCUGUCCCCAGCGGCCUCGGGCUACGGGACCCAGAACAUUCGACUGAGCCGGGAUGCCGUGAAGGACUUCGACUGCUGUUGUCUCUCCCUGCAGCCUUGCCACGAUCCUGUUGUCACCCCAGAUGGCUACCUGUAUGAGCGUGAGGCCAUCCUGGAGUACAUUCUGCACCAGAAGAAGGAGAUUGCCCGGCAGAUGAAGUUUCAUCGUCUGUAAAACGGGCUGACGGCCAAAUCAGAGGACACAGCAGGGCACCUGGGAGGUACACGCAGAUGAGCAUUCUCAAGGCGUGUUACUGGGAACCCGGCCUGGCCUUCCAUGGACAAAGCCAUUUGAUGGGUGGCUCCCCCUGUGCCCAUGUCCUCCACACAGCCUGGUGGUCAUGUCGGAGGCCCUCAUGAGCAUCCA
rnacentral:sRNA from 1 species